GGGAUCUGUAUGGGGAUAUUCGUGGAUUACCUUACUUGCUGUGAUUAUUAUUCUAUGGUAUUUUAUUACUUGUUCCUGAGCCCCACUGGGAUCUUUAGUGGAGUUAACCUGUGAAAGACCAGCUCUCCGCUACAUUGGUUGGCAGCGCUGGGAUCCAGACUCACAGAGGAACAAGUACCAAUGGAGUACGAAUGGAGAUUGAUUAUUCUAAGCUAAAACACUCCACGC
rnacentral:lncRNA from 1 species